rnacentral:lncRNA from 1 species
CCGAUGCUCCCCCAGCUUGGGCUUGGCGAGGACAGUUGGGGGCCGGCCGGAUCUCCCCUCCGGCUCUCCCUGCACCCCAAAAGAACGGCCCACCAAGCUGGGUGAAGCCCUUUGGGACCCGCAGUUACUUUUAUUGAUUUUCUUGAGACCUGACAGCCAAAAAAAAGGGGCGCGGUGCGCAGUGGAAAGAGGCCAGGCCCUGCAGAAAACGCCAGGCAAACAGACCUCCCGAACAAAGGAGCGCACCCAACUUAGACACCCCCAGACUGCUUUGGAAUUCUUCCUGCCCUUGCAACGUCUGUUUCUUUGAAGGUGCACCUUUGGACCAAAGCCGUUGGUUUCUUCCAAAUCCAUCCGGUGAACCUGCCCCCACCUCCCGUAAACAAAGAAAAAGCCAGGGACUGACCCCAAGUUUCUAGGAGCAGCAGUGAGGUUGACAUAUUUCAGACAAAUCGCAGCAGCCAACUUCCUGUCCGGCCCCUUUUCCACGGAGAAACCCUCCCUCCACCCUUCCCGGGUCCAGGUGAAGAGAUUAAAACUCUACACGAGCCCCUACAUGGAAUGCUCAGCUGGGCGACAUUUUUUAAUAUUGCAUUACACUAUGAAUUUCUCUCUGUCCCCACGGAAACAUACCUCUAGUUCGGUGGAACGUGCCCAGCCCUUCUAUCUUGAACAGAAGAUCACAGUAUUUAAUGCUAAUUUCCUUGGGAUGGUGCUUACAAUACACCAGGUGAGGUUUUCAUAAUAUACUGUUACAAUACAGAUGUUAAACAGAGAAGGGGAAGUGUGCAAAUCCCAAACUGCAAGAGACAGCAGGGUUAUCAUCUUUAUAAAAGUUUCAGCACAAAAUACUAUCCGAACACUGAGGAGGAGCCGCUCAGCAGUUUCCCGCUGCCAGGAAGAGAAAUUCACAUGUUGAGGCGGUCCC